CAGUCGCCGCGGUAAAACGAAGGGUGCAAGCGUUAAUCGGAAUUACUGGGCGUAAAGCGCACGUAGGCGGCUUGGUAAGUUAGAGGUGAAAGCCCGGAGCUCAACUCCGGAAUUGCCUUUAAGACUGCCGAGCUAGUAGGUGAGAGAGGUAAGUGGAAUUCCGAGUGUAGAGGUGAAAUUCGUAGAUAUUCGGAAGAACACCAGUGGCGAAGGCGGCUCACUGGUCCAUUACUGACGCUGAGGUGCGAAAGCGUGGGGAGCAAACAGGAUUAGAUACCCGUGUAGUCCCUGUCUCUUAUAC
rnacentral:rRNA from 1 species